GCACUCGCUUCAGCAGCACAUAUACUAAAAUUGGAAGAUUAGCAUGGCCCCCACGCAAGGAUGACAUGCAAAUCCAUGAAGCGCUUCAUAAUUUU
rnacentral:snRNA from 1 species